ACGUAGGUGGCGAGCGUUGUCCGGAAUUACUGGGUGUAAAGGGAGCGCAGGCGGGGAAACAAGUCAGCUGUGAAAACUAUGGGCUUAACCCAUAAACUGCAGUUGAAACUGUUUUUCUUGAGUGGAGAAGAGGUAGGCGGAAUUCCGAGGGUAGCGGUGAAAUGCGUAGAUCCUCGGAGGACCACCUGUGGCGAAGGCGGCCCACCAGGACCUAACCGACAGUGAGGAUCGAAAGCGGGGGGAGCAAACCG
rnacentral:rRNA from 1 species